GACCACUCUGGUGGUCUAGUGGUUAGAGCAUUUGCCUUGGAUACAGGUUGCAGGUUCAAACCCUGGCCAAGUCA